CAUCAUGCUGUCAUGGCUGAAGGCUUCCUCAGUGCCAAGCUACUGGCCAAGAAGUUGAUUACCCUGUACACACUCUGCAAGGAGCUGCUCUCCAAAAAGUUGUUUUCUACGGCUGCUGUACUGUAGGCCGCUCUGGUGCACACGGCUGAGACGGACAUCUGAGGUACUUAAUGGAUCUGUUGCUGGAGAGGGGCCAACCCCUGAUGCUGGCGGGGAAUGCAGGCGUGGAGAAUACUUCUCUGGUCAGGAAUCAGGUACGACAGGCAGAAGAUAACCCUAAAUGAGAUCCACCACUGUGGAUCUCACUAAAUGAGAUCCACCACUAUGAAACCUACUUCUGGGAGCUUCACCAUCAACCCUGGACUACAGGACCUGAACCCUAGGACCAUGCCUCAGGACUACCUGACAUGAUGACUCCUUGCUGUCCCCAGUCCACCUGGCCGUGCUGCUGCUCCAGUUUCAACUGUUCUGCCUGUGAUUAUUAUUAU